rnacentral:misc_RNA from 1 species
AGCCAAAUCCUCCAAGCCACAAAUAUAACAAAUUAAGCAAAAGAUAGAUAAAAUGAGAGCUGAAAUGAUUAAACCUAUUCACUUCCUAUCCUCAAAGCAACAUACGCAAGUCAAAGAUUAAUAAAUACCAUGUUUAGAUAUGUAAAAUGCUACUGCAGUUUUUCUCAACUUGAUAAGCGGUAAGGAAAGACUCAAAUAUUGCAGAGGAAUGAUUAAGCAUAAUGUAGCAGUUGAAUAUAGAAACAAGGAAUGAAAAAGAAAAAAUUGUUUUAGCAUGGUUCAAACAAAAUUAAAAGAGAGAAGUAAUUCCUGUCCCUUAUGCAAGCCUAUUCCACAGUGAAGAGUGCAACUUUGACAAACUUGGAGAAGUAAAGUACAUAUCAAUACAACUCAACUCAACUAAGACUUUACCCAAAAGAUUUGAGGUCGGCUAUAUGGAUUUGCUUUCUCCACUCUAAACGACUUUGGGUUAAAUCCUCAGAAAUG